rnacentral:rRNA from 1 species
UACGGGGGGGGCAAGCGUUGUUCGGAAUUACUGGGCGUAAAGGGCUCGUAGGCGGCCAACUAAGUCAGACGUGAAAGCCCCCGGCUUACCCGGGGAUCUGCAUCCCAAACUGCUUGGCUUGAGUACGGGAGAGGAUAGGGGAAUUCCUGGUGUAGCGGUGAAAUGCGUAGAUAUCAGGAGGAACACCGGUGGCGAAGGCGGCAUCCUGGACCGACACUGACGCUGAGGAGCGAAAGCCAGGGGAGCAAACGGG